GAUGAACGCUAGCUACAGGCUUAACACAUGCAAGUCGAGGGGAAACGGCAUUUAGUGCUUGCACUGAAUGGACGUCGACCGGCGCACGGGUGAGUAACGCGUAUCCAACCUACCCAUUACUGUGGGAUAACCUGCCGAAAGGCAGACUAAUACCGCAUAGUCUUCGAUGACGGCAUCAGAUUUGAAGUAAAGAUUUAUCGGUAAUGGAUGGGGAUGCGUCUGAUUAGCUUGUUGGCGGGGUAACGGCCCACCAAGGCAACGAUCAGUAGGGGUUCUGAGAGGAAGGUCCCCCACAUUGGAACUGAGACACGGUCCAAACUCCUACGGGAGGCAGCAGUGAGGAAUAUUGGUCAAUGGGCGCGAGCCUGAACCAGCCAAGUAGCGUGCAGGAUGACGGCCCUAUGGGUUGUAAACUGCUUUUGUAUGGGGAUAAAGUCAAUCACGUGUGAUUGUUUGCAGGUACCAUACGAAUAAGGACCGGCUAAUUCCGUGCCAGCAGCCGCGGUAAUACGGAAGGUCCGGGCGUUAUCCGGAUUUAUUGGGUUUAAAGGGAGCGUAGGCCGGAGAUUAAGCGUGUUGUGAAAUGUAGACGCUCAACGUCUGACUUGCAGCGCAUACUGGUUUCCUUGAGUACGCACAACGUUGGCGGAAUUCGUCGUGUAGCGGUGAAAUGCUUAGAUAUGACGAAGAACUCCGAUUGCGAAGGCAGCUGACGGGAGCGCAACUGACGCUUAAGCUCGAAGGUGCGGGUAUCGAACAGG
rnacentral:rRNA from 1 species